rnacentral:tRNA from 1 species
GCCCCUGUAGCUCAGUGGAUAGAGCACUGGCCUCCGGAGCCAGGUGCGAUGGUUCGAUUCCAUCCAGGGGUACCA